rnacentral:misc_RNA from 1 species
UGUCCAUAUGGUAGGAAUCUGGGGCAUGGGUGGCAUAGGAAAAACAACAAUUGCCAAGUUUAUUUAUGACAGGAUUUGUAGCCAAUUUCAAGCUCAUUGCUUUCUUGCAAAUGUUAAAGAGGAUUUCAGAAACCUUGGCGCUGCAGCUUUACGAGAGAAACUUCUUUGCAAAGGCUUAUUGCUAGAAAGAAAACUUCUGAAUAGAUGGACCUUUAAUGCUGGUUUUAAUAUGAUCAAGAAAAGGCUCUGUCACAAAAAGGUUCUUGUUGUUCUUGAUGA